rnacentral:rRNA from 1 species
UACGUAGGGUGCAAGCGUUGUCCGGAAUUAUUGGGCGUAAAGAGCUCGUAGGCGGUCUGGUCGCGUCUGCUGUGAAAACCUAGGGCUUAACUCUGGGCGUGCAGUGGGUACGGGCAGACUAGAGUGCGGUAGGGGAGAUUGGAAUUCCUGGUGUAGCGGUGGAAUGCGCAGAUAUCAGGAGGAACACCAAUGGCGAAGGCAGAUCUCUGGGCCGUAACUGACGCUGAGGAGCGAAAGCAUGGGGAGCGAAGCAG